AUUGAACGCUGGCGGCAUGCUUUACACAUGCAAGUCGAACGGUAACAGGCCGCAAGGUGCUGACGAGUGGCGAACGGGUGAGUAAUGCAUCGGAACGUGCCCAGUCGUGGGGGAUAACGCAGCGAAAGCUGCGCUAAUACCGCAUACGAUCUAUGGAUGAAAGCGGGGGACCGUAAGGCCUCGCGCGAUUGGAGCGGCCGAUGUCAGAUUAGGUAGUUGGUGGGGUAAAGGCUCACCAAGCCGACGAUCUGUAGCUGGUCUGAGAGGACGACCAGCAACACUGGGACGUAGACACGGCCCAGACUCCUACGGGAGGCAGCAGUGGGGGAUUUUGGACAAUGGGCGCAAGCCUGAUCCAGCAAUGCCGCGUGCAGGAAGAAGGCCUUCGGGUUGUAAACUGCUUUUGUACGGAACGAAAAGGCUCUGGUUAAUACCUGGGGCUCAUGACGGUACCGUAAGAAUAAGCACCGGCUAACUACGUGCCAGCCGCCGCCGUAACAC
rnacentral:rRNA from 1 species